rnacentral:misc_RNA from 1 species
AACGCACCUUGCACUCUUUGGUAUUCCGAAGAGUAUGCCUGUUUGAGUGUCAUUAAAUUCUCAAACCCUUUUGGCUUUUAUUGGUCGAAAGGGCUUUGGAUGUGGGAGUUGCUGGAACUAGCCUUUCAGCUCUUCUUAAAUGUAUUAGCGGGUUACUGAUAUCCACUACUUGGUGUUGAUAGUCUAUCUUACGCCUUGUAGUCGAAUCAACUUAUGUAGCUGCUUCUAAUCGUCGACUUUGUUGACAAUAUACUUGACUAUUUGACCUCAAAUCAGGUAGGACUACCCGCUGAACUUAA